rnacentral:rRNA from 1 species
GCUUUACACAUGCAAGUCGAACGGCAGCACGGGAGCUUGCUCCUGGUGGCGAGUGGCGAACGGGUGAGUAAUGCAUCGGAACGUAUCCAAUAAUGGGGGAUAACGCAGCGAAAGCUGUGCUAAUACCGCAUACGCCCUGAGGGGGAAAGUGGGGGACCGCAAGGCCUCACGUUAAUGGAGCGGCCGAUGUCGGAUUAGCUAGUUGGUGAGGUAAAGGCUCACCAAGGCGACGAUCCGUAGCUGGUCUGAGAGGAUGAUCAGCCACACUGGAACUGAGACACGGUCCAGACUCCUACGGGAGGCAGCAGUGGGGAAUUUUGGACAAUGGGGGCAACCCUGAUCCAGCCAUGCCGCGUGAGUGAAGAAGGCCUUCGGGUUGUAAAGCUCUUUCGCGAGGGAAGAAAACUUACUCAAUAACACUGGGUGAGGCUGACGGUACCUUGAUAAGAAGCACCGGCUAACUACGUGCCAGCAGCCGCGGUAAUACGUAGGGUGCGAGCGUUAAUCGGAAUUACUGGGCGUAAAGCGUGCGCAGGCGGUUUGACAAGUCAGAUGUGAAAGCCCCAGGCUCAACCUGGGAACUGCGUUUGAAACUGUCAGG